AAGGCGGUUAUUUGAACUCAAACUUUAUGGGCUCACUGAUCCUCAGUCUAGGGCUUCUGAACUCGAGAAAUUUGGAAAAUCCCAAGAGCAAAGGGGGUCGUUGAACUCAGAGCCUUGAAGGACCUCAACCAGUGCUCAUGAAUCCUUUAACUAGGAUUUCUGAUGGAAGAACUUUUGGAGAACCCUAAAAUGCCGAAGACUGGCAAAGGAAAGAAAAAGGCCCUCCCUGUUAACAAGAUAGAUUCAUCAGUAAAAUGUUUCGUGGAGGGAUUCUAUAAUCAUUGCUCUCAGGAAUCCCAAGUGACGACGGUAGGAUUCCCAAGCCUUUCAACAUGAAGAAUAUAUGUAUGAUCAAUCUGUCUUGUCACCCUGGUGACCGCGGUGCGAUAGUUAGAAGUUUUUGCAAUAACUUGAUGGGAAGGCUUGGAGAAAUAAGUUUUUAUCUUAGGAUGUCAUGACUGCAUUAUAUGAAUAAAUCAUGAAACUAUGCUAUGGUUAGUUACCUUUUUCUUUGGUCGCGUUUAUCUGCGAACUUCUUCUUUUUUAAAACAUCUUGUGACUAAUAGAAGAAUUGCAAUCCUUGACAAUAUUGCUAAUGUGCAUAGAUGGGGAUCUUUUGUUUUGAAUC